rnacentral:rRNA from 1 species
AUGGUGAUAGUUGGCUUGAUUCUGUGCAAAAAUAGAAACUUUUGCUCUGAGUUCAGGAAUUUUGAAAAUUCACUGGAACAUGCUUUUGAUCUGUAUUUUAUACACAAGAUUGAUAUACAAAUUUCCUAUAUUGUCCUAUUUUUCAGAAUUUUUGGAGUUACAGAAGUAUACAAAGUUUUCAGAUUACUACAGACCAUUCCGUUUUUGAUAGAUUAUGUUUUCAUUGUGUUGCUUGCUUAUUUUGAUGAAUAUAUGGAUAGUAUCAGAGGGUAUGAACCAUGGAGAAGUUGUAAUACAGUAGAUAUAACACAAUACGAAUUUAGAAUGAGUUCACAACAGUACCUAAGUGGUGAUUUGCUUUCUUAUAUUAACGGAUCUCAUAAGAUUUUCUGUUGA